rnacentral:rRNA from 1 species
UACAGAGGGUGCAAGCGUUGUUCGGAAUUACUGGGCGUAAAGCGCACGUAGGCGGCCUCAAAAGUCGGAUGUGAAAUCCCGUGGCUCAACCAUGGACGUGCAUUCGAAACUGCGAGGCUUGAGUAUGGAAGAGGGUCGCGGAAUUCCCGGUGUAGAGGUGAAAUUCGUAGAUAUCGAGAGGAACACCUGCGGCGAAGGCGGGUUGCUGGGCUGACACUGACGCUGAGGCGCGAAAGCCAGGGGAGCGAACGGG